rnacentral:tRNA from 1 species
AUUUAAGUAAUUUAAAAAAAAAAUUUUGAUUUGUGGUGUCAAAUAUGUAAGUUAUUUACCUUAAAUU